CGAUUUGUUUGCUACAGUCCAGCAAAAGAAGAGAACAUAAUUUAUGAUGGCCAGCGUCCAUAUUCCUGCGAUUUGUGUAACAAGUCAUUCAUCGAUCAGCAUAACCUGAAGACCCAUCAGCGUACGCACAGUGACACACUGUGACCAAGAGAUGGACUUUCAUCAUCUGAGCUUGAACUGUCAUUCAGUUCAAGAGGAGGUUCACCAUCAUCAGUCUCUUUGUUAUUCCCAUAGAAACUCUUGCAGUCAUAUCUUAACUCUACUGCAGCAGUGUUACAUGAAGGAUUUGGGUCACUAAAGUUGCCAAUUAUUUCGUAUGUUUUAGACACUUCAAUUUCCUUUUUAAGAAUUAAUUCUUUUAGAUCGGUAGAUGUGUUAUGUUCAGAUAUUUGUCCAACUUCUAUAACAGCAAACUGUGAAGAUCUACCCACUAUUUUCAAACCGCUGUCAGCAUGUGAAAUCUGUCUGUUAGUUGGAUCUAGAAUUACAUAUUCAGAAUCACGCCAUGCAGUUACAGUGAUCUCUUCUGUUUUGUCGAUUCUGUCCAUCAUCUGAAGGCAGAGUGAAGGUGGGUUAUCACUUGAGGUUGCAUGCAUUUUCACACAGUAACCAGGAUCGGACACUUUACGUGGGGAAUCAUUCAAUUUAUCAACUGAUUCUGCUUGAAGCUGAGUUAGACGGAGACAUGCAGUUGGAUCGCUACUAGUAACUGCACUCACCCUGAUAAUUUCUUCAUCUGAUAAUCGUUGAGAUCGUGGUUGCUCAACAUUUUCCAGUGAUAAUCUAGCAAUUUUUUUGUUAGAGAUAAUUGUCAAAGUAGCACCUCCCUGAACAUCAUGCAACAUCUUCCUUGUGUCUCCUUGGACAUUAGUUGAUUUAACAGUUGACUCAGAAUCAGUCUCUGGUGCAGACUCCUCAGCGAUUUCCAACAUUUCAACGGAAUGGGGGCCAAACUCUUACCAUUGUUUCUAUGCUUCUGCUGGGGUAGACCACAUGCUUAAUGGGUUCCAAAGAAGAGACUACUGACUUUAAAAUUCCCUUUAUCUCCACUACUUGGCAAGGAUCUGCCUCUGGUUUGGAGCCUACAUGCUCCACCUUGGCAUUACUGGUCACAAGUGUGUUCGUUGACACUUGAGAGAAGAGUAUACUGUCCUUUGCCAAGCAAAAUGUAUCCAUUUCAUCUGCAUCUUGAGAAGAAUGUGCAGGAGAUUCUAAUGUUUUCACAAUAUCCCCUUGGUUUCGAUCAGCAAUAACUUCAGUUUCAGUUGCUAUGCUACUUUUAUCUUUUUCUUCUCCUUUAUUUAUAAUUAUUCCAUCUGUUUCAGGUAAUUUCACUGUUCUUAUUUCAUCUUGUACUGCACUCACAAAAUAUCUAUGCUGAGUAUCGUCAUAAAUGACAAUUUCCGGAUACUGCCUUACUUCUGCUGGUGGUUCAGAUUCCAUUCGCUCCUCAGGUUUUUCUGGUGUGUUCCCUACAAGAGGUCUACUUGCUCCUUCACCCUGAAUUUUUCUAACUUCAUCUUCGUCUAAUAAAUCUUCAAAUACAGGAUUCAGAUAGCCCAUACAUUCCUGUUCUACAGCAUCAUGUUCAAUAAAUUCUAACAUAAACUAGAAACGUAGAGAAACAGGACAUAUUUAUAAGCAUAAAAAUUCAAAAUAGCAUACACAAUCUGCAUAACACCUUUAAUCUACCAAGAUCCUAACGACGCAUAAUAAAACAGCAAGAUUUUUGAAGUUACAGACCAAACUACUUGAGGUCUUAACAAUGCUAGUACCUGGAAAUGUCAUUAAAUUCAAGAAAGCUAGAUGUUACAUACCAUAAGUUUAUAUUUCAACUUAUAUAAUUUGUACAUAAGCUCAAAUUAUCUCUAUCAAAAUAUCUCUUAUGACAAACAUAGUUCAUACAAAGCCCAUGCAAUGGAUCCACACAUGUAAAUGAAUUAAUGCUCAAUCAUAUCUUUGUUGUAACAAUUACUAUACAUUUAGUAUUUACUGCCUUAAGAUCACCUGGUAUAGUAAAAUUUCAUAAAUGUCUGACUGAAUAAAGCUGUGCAAACAGUU